UACAGAGGGUGCAAGCGUUGUUCGGAAUUAUUGGGCGUAAAGCGCGUGUAGGCGGCUUUUGCAAGUCGGGUGUGAAAGCCCUCAGCUCAACUGAGGAAGUGCGCCCGAAACUGCAGAGCUUGAGUACCGGAGAGGAUGGCGGAAUUCCCGAAGUAGAGGUGAAAAUUCGUAGAUAUCGGGAGGAACACCGGUGGCGAAGGCGGCCAUCUGGACGGAUACUGACGCUGAGACGCGAAAGCGUGGGGAGCAACAGG
rnacentral:rRNA from 1 species